CAAUUUUGGAACCAGACCUAAAGAUAAAUAUAAAAUAAAAUAAAAAGAAGCCAAAAACGUUACAAUCAUACUCAGCUGAUCAUACUUAUAUCUUAUAAGUUUAGCACAACCUGAGAUCAAGAUCACCCAAUGAGAAUUUUUUUUGUUAACAUGUAUGUGAGAAUUACAAGCCAUAGACACCGCUGAUUUAUGUGAGAAUCCAACACAUAUAAAUACAAGGAGAAAAAAAAGAACAAACCUAAAGAGUUCUGCCUCUGCUUUCAAAUCCUCUACUUCUUCCACAUGUUCCUCAAUUUUGGAAUCAGACCUAUACAGAUCAAAACACUCCCUCCGUGAAAUUAACCAUUGCCCAGCAAAAAGAAAACAAAAACGUAACGAUCAGACCUAAACACCCAAAUCUACUGAUGAAACGAAACAAGUAAAUCUCAAAUCCAAAGAGAUUUUCAGUGGCCUUUCAGAUUGCAAACACAAUAGAUCAAAGAGUAUUGAGCCACAUACCUUUUGGGAUUACAGAUCUUAUACAAGAUUAACGACACAAGUUCUUUUGCUCUGCAAGCCAUUAUUAGGGCCGGAGAAGAUGAUCGCACUACG